rnacentral:rRNA from 1 species
CCCUGGAACGGGACGCCGCAGAGGGUGAGAGCCCCGUACGGUCGGACGCCGAGCCUCUGUAAAGCUCCUUCGACGAGUCGAGUAGUUUGGGAAUGCUGCUCAAAAUGGGAGGUAAACCCCUUCUAAAGCUAAAUACCGGCCAGAGACCGAUAGCGCACAAGUAGAGUGAUCGAAAGAUGAAAAGCACUUUGAAAAGAGAGUUAAAAAGCACGUGAAAUUGUUAAAAGGGAAGCGCUUGCGACCAGACUUGCGCCCGUCGGAUCAACCGUCGCUUGCGGCGGCGCACUCCGGCGGGCUCAGGCCAGCAUCAGUUCGCUCGGGGGGAGAAAGGCGGCGGGAAUGUAGCUCCUCGGAGUGUUAUAGCCCGCCGUGUAAUACCCUCGGGUGGACUGAGGACCGCGCGUAUGCAAGGAUGCUGGCGUAAUGGUCGUCAGCGACCCGUCUUGA